CCUACGUGUCGCAGCAGUGGGGAAUAUUGGACAAUGGGCGAAAGCCUGAUCCAGCCAUGCCGCGUGUGUGAAGAAGGCCUUCGGGUUGUAAAGCACUUUCAGUGGGGAAGAAAGCCUUGGGGCUAAUACCCUCGAGGAAGGACAUCACCCACAGAAGAAGCACCGGCUAACUCCGUGCCAGCAGCCGCGGUAAUACGGAGGGUGCGAGCGUUAAUCGGAAUUACUGGGCGUAAAGCGCGCGUAGGCGGUCUGAUAAGCCGGUUGUGAAAGCCCCGGGCUCAACCUGGGAACGGCAUCCGGAACUGUCAGGCUAGAGUGCAGGAGAGGAAGGUAGAAUUCCCGGUGUAGCGGUGAAAUGCGUAGAGAUCGGGAGGAAUACCAGUGGCGAAGGCGGCCUUCUGGACUGACACUGACGCUGAGGUGCGAAAGCGUGGGUAGCAAACAGGAUUAGAUACCCCGGUAGUC
rnacentral:rRNA from 1 species